rnacentral:rRNA from 1 species
UACGAAGGGGGCUAGCGUUGCUCGGAAUCACUGGGCGUAAAGGGUGCGUAGGCGGGUCUUUAAGUCAGAGGUGAAAUCCUGGAGCUCAACUCCAGAACUGCCUUCGAUACUGGAGAGCUUGAGUCCGGGAGAGGUGAGUGGAACUGCGAGUGUAGAGGUGAAAUUCGUAGAUAUUCGCAAGAACACCAGUGGCGAAGGCGGCUCACUGGCCCGGUACUGACGCUGAGGUGCGAAAGCGUGGGGAGCGAACAGG